rnacentral:rRNA from 1 species
GUAAGGAAUAUUGGUCAAUGGGCGCAAGCCUGAACCAGCCAUGCCGCGUGCAGGAAGACGGCCCUCCGGGUUGUAAACUGCUUUUGUACGGGAAUAAACCUCUCUACGUGUAGGGAGCUGAAUGUACCGUAAGAAUAAGGAUCGGCUAACUCCGUGCCAGCAGCCGCGGUAAUACGGAGGAUCCAAGCGUUAUCCGGAUUUAUUGGGUUUAAAGGGUGCGUAGGCGGCCUGUUAAGUCAGGGGUGAAAGACGGUGGCUCAACCAUCGCAGUGCCCUUGAUACUGAUGGGCUUGAAUAGACUAGAGGUAGGCGGAAUGUGACAAGUAGCGGUGAAAUGCAUAGAUAUGUCACAGAACACCGAUUGCGAAGGCAGCUUACUAUGGUCUGAUUGACGCUGAGGCACGAAAGCGUGGGGAUCGAACAGGAUUAGAUACCCCUGUAGUCC